rfam:Verruconis gallopava strain CBS 43764 unplaced genomic scaffold supercont1.25, whole genome shotgun sequence.
UUAUGAACAACGCAAUAAUCACCACUCGCUUAAAAGCAUUUUCGGAACAGAGAUGCCCGCUCGAAAGGGCGUGUGGCUUCCAUGACAACGAAAACCGUCUGCUGAGUGAAGAGUAUCUUGUAUGAUUGCCCGGCUUUGGGUGCGGUUGUCUCCUUGCGUAGCCAUGGGGACGAGCGCAAUGGCUGGACAUACAU